rnacentral:rRNA from 1 species
GAGUUUGAUCCUGGCUCAGGACGAACGCUGGCGGCGUGCCUAAUACAUGCAAGUCGAGCGGACAGAUGGGAGCUUGCUCCCUGAUGUUAGCGGCGGACGGGUGAGUAACACGUGGGUAACCUGCCUGUAAGACUGGGAUAACUCCGGGAAACCGGGGCUAAUACCGGAUGGUUGUUUGAACCGCAUGGUUCAAACAUAAAAGGUGGCUUCGGCUACCACUUACAGAUGGACCCGCGGCGCAUUAGCUAGUUGGUGAGGUAACGGCUCACCAAGGCGACGAUGCGUAGCCGACCUGAGAGGGUGAUCGGCCACACUGGGACUGAGACACGGCCCAGACUCCUACGGGAGGCAGCAGUAGGGAAUCUUCCGCAAUGGACGAAAGUCUGACGGAGCAACGCCGCGUGAGUGAUGAAGGUUUUCGGAUCGUAAAGCUCUGUUGUUAGGGAAGAACAAGUACCGUUCGAAUAGGGCGGUACCUUGACGGUACCUAACCAGAAAGCCACGGCUAACUACGUGCCAGCAGCCGCGGUAAUACGUAGGUGGCAAGCGUUGUCCGGAAUUAUUGGGCGUAAAGGGCUCGCAGGCGGUUUCUUAAGUCUGAUGUGAAAGCCCCCGGCUCAACCGGGGAGGGUCAUUGGAAACUGGGGAACUUGAGUGCAGAAGAGGAGAGUGGAAUUCCACGUGUAGCGGUGAAAUGCGUAGAGAUGUGGAGGAACACCAGUGGCGAAGGCGACUCUCUGGUCUGUAACUGACGCUGAGGAGCGAAAGCGUGGGGAGCGAACAGGAUUAGAUACCCUGGUAGUCCACGCCGUAAACGAUGAGUGCUAAGUGUUAGGGGGUUUCCGCCCCU